rnacentral:rRNA from 1 species
GAUGAACGCUAGCUACAGGCUUAACACAUGCAAGUCGAGGGGAAACGAUAUUGGAAGCUUGCUUCUGAUAGGCGUCGACCGGCGCACGGGUGAGUAACGCGUAUCCAACCUGCCCAUCACUUGGGGAUAACCUUGUGAAAGUAAGACUAAUACCCAAUGACGUCUCUAGAAGACAUCUGAAAGAGAUUAAAGAUUUAUCGGUGAUGGAUGGGGAUGCGUCUGAUUAGCUUGUUGGCGGGGUAACGGCCCACCAAGGCGACGAUCAGUAGGGGUUCUGAGAGGAAGGUCCCCCACAUUGGAACUGAGACACGGUCCAAACUCCUACGGGAGGCAGCAGUGAGGAAUAUUGGUCAAUGGACGAGAGUCUGAACCAGCCAAGUAGCGUGCAGGAUGACGGCCCUAUGGGUUGUAAACUGCUUUAUAGGGAAAAAUAGUAGGGAGUCGUGACUCUUUUUGCAUGUACCUUAUGAAUAAGGACCGGCUAAUUCCGUGCCAGCAG